rnacentral:rRNA from 1 species
AGACCGAUCUGCUGACUAUUUAUAUGCCUGCGCGCUUCACGACCGUUGCACCCGAAGCAAAGAAGCGAAGGGAAAGAGAAGGAAGAAUAGUCUGUGCAUCGGCCAUGGAGAGCUCCUCCUCGUCUCUCUUGCUGAGUUCGUAUGCCGGCAACAACAAGAGGGCCAGGGAUGCCGACCUCGAAGUGGGCUCGUCCGCGGAGGCGGAGGCCGCCAAGAGGAUGCGACCGGAGGACCUGCUGGACCUGCUCGCCGACGACACCGACGCCGCGGCGGCCGGCGACCUGGCCUCCGUCAUGCGGAGCCUUGAGGAGGAGAUAUGCGCCGACGAGCUGAUGCCGCCGCAGCCGGAGCUGGGGUUCCUGCUCGAGGCCUCCGACGACGAGCUCGGCCUGCCGCCGGCCGCCGGGGCGUCCUCCUCGUCGGACGACGCCGGGGGCUGGGAGCCGGAGGAGGCCGCAGGCCUGUUCGGGGAGCAGAUAUGGGGCUUCGAGGACGAGAUUGACGGCGCAUACGCCUUCGGCGGCGUCGCCUACUCGCCGGAGGCCGCCGUGGCGGCUGCUGCGGCCGCGGCCGAGUGGGGCGACGACGGCUUUGACGCCGGCCUGUUCGGCUUCGGCGACGAGUCAUUCGGGCCGUCCGAUCUCGACGUGCUUCGCCAGGAGACCAUGCCCGCCGUUUGAUCAGUCGUCAGUGGAUGGAUGGAUUAGCCUUUUCUUUUUUACCUUUGGCUGACUUUAGCUUUACCCUUUUUUUAAGAGAAAUGUCAAAAAUAAACCUUAACUUUAUACUCGAAGUCUGAAUGGAACCCUGACCUUAAAAUCCCUGAAAUUGGUACCCUCUUCUUUUUAAUCUUGCCAGGAUCGAGGGGAAAGUGAUCACUAGAGAGGCUAUGGCGUAUCACACGAGUACGUGCGACGAUGUAUAUGCAUUUUCAUCUUUUUUUUACCUGCCGUGAUCGUUCGUACACGUUGCGCGCCGGGAUAAGUUUGUCACGUGUUCAGCUACUUGUAGUACUGCGUACGUGUGUAAUACGGCAGAAGCAAUUGCCUACCUUGCGUAUACUAUCACAUCAAGCCGGAAUCGAUCAAGAUGCUUAGGUAGUCAGCUUCUUAACAUGUACGUGCCCCGGUGCCCGCUGUAUCCCACUGUCCGUUGGCCACCUAACAACGGGGAAUUGUUGCUGCAGUUCAAGGCUUCAUACGUUCAUCAGUGCAUGGUCCUGGUCUGCCUCAUCGCAUGGCAACUCGCCAGCAGCGGCAUGGUUUGCGCCGGCGUCGUUCGACCAGGCGCGAAUCCGGCGACACCCCGAAGCAGAGGUGGUUGUGCGCCAGUUUGUUCGUCUCUCGGCGCGGGACCUGACUACAGAAUGAGGUCUCCAAGAACGAUGGCAACCGGACAACAAACAACAAAGCUUCUGACCAGCUGACGUUGCCAUCACGUCUCCCGCGGACGCUUCGUGUAGAGCAGCUUGCCGCCGUACCAGCCAAGAGCGGAGUGCCCUUGACGUCGGUUUACACUCGCACUCCAGCAGCAGACUCUGCGAUGAACACACAGCACCGAGGCGCAACGCUUGGGAGCGACGUCUGGCGAGUAGACAUGCAUGUGGCAUGGCGUAUUCCGAGAAGAGAAGAGAAAGAGAGAUAGGAAGAAGAUGGAGAUGUCACGUGGGCCUAAAAUAGUCAAUGUGAGAAGUGAGUAAUCCCGGUUGGGAUCAUCCUUUUCC